GAUGAACGCUGGCGGCGUGCCUAAUACAUGCAAGUCGAGCGAAUGGAUUAAGAGCUUGCUCUUAUGAAGUUAGCGGCGGACGGGUGAGUAACACGUGGGUAACCUGCCCAUAAGACUGGGAUAACUCCGGGAAACCGGGGCUAAUACCGGAUAACAUUUUGAACCGCAUGGUUCGACAUUGAAAGGCGGCUUCGGCUGUCACUUAUGGAUGGACCCGGGUCGCAUUAGCUAGUUGGUGAGGUAACGGCUCACCAAGGCAACGAUGCGUAGCCGACCUGAGAGGGUGAUCGGCCACACUGGGACUGAGACACGGCCCAGACUCCUACGGGAGGCAGCAGUAGGGAAUCUCCCGCAAUGGACGAAAGUCUGACGGAGCAACGCCGCGUGAGUGAUGAAGGCUUUCGGGUCGUAAAACUCUGUUGUUAGGGAAGAACAAGUGCCAGUUGAAUAAGCUGGCACCUUGACGGUACCUAACCAGAAAGCCACGGCUAACUACGUGCCAGCAGCCGCGGUAA
rnacentral:rRNA from 1 species